rnacentral:rRNA from 1 species
UACGGGGGGGGCAAGCGUUGUUCGGAAUUACUGGGCGUAAAGGGCUCGUAGGCGGCCAACUAAGUCGGAUGUGAAAUCUCUGGGCUUAACCCAGAAAGGUCAACCGAUACUGCGGGGCUAGAGUGCAGAAGGGGCAACUGGAAUUCUCGGUGUAGCGGUGAAAUGCGUAGAUAUCGAGAGGAACACCUGCGGCGAAGGCGGGUUGCUGGGCUGACACUGACGCUGAAGCGCGAAAGCUAGGGGAGCGAACGGG